AAUGAACGCUGGCGGCAUGCUUUACACAUGCAAGUCGAACGAGUGGCGGACGGGUGAGUAAUGUGUCGGAACGUGCCCUGUAGCGGGGGUUAACUCCUCGAAAGAGUGGCUAAUACCGCAAACCAUUAGAGCGGCCGAUAUCGGAUUAGCUAGUUGGUGGGGUAAAGGCUCACCAAGGCAACGAUCCGUAGAUGGUUUGAGAGGACGACCAGCCACACUGGAACUGAGACACGGCCCAGACUCCUACGGGAGGCAGCAGUGGGGAAUGUUGGACAAUGGGGGAAACCCUGACCCAGCCAUCCCGCGUGUGUGAGAAGGCCUUCGGGUUGUAAAGUACUGUUGGCAGAGAAGCGGUAUCUGCAGAAUAAGCACCGGCUAACUACGUGCCAGCAGCCGCGGUAAUAC
rnacentral:rRNA from 1 species